rnacentral:lncRNA from 1 species
UGGUAACAGCAGUAGCUGGAGCAGUCUUGGUUUAGAAGGAGAUUUGUAUGAGGACAAUUUAUCCUUUCCAACAUCAGACAGUGAUGGACCGGAUGAUAGAGAGAGCGAACAGGAGGAUGGUGCUGAGGGUUUGCAGCCGAGUGGAAAGACUCUGCUGAUCGUGAACAUUGACGUGGAGCCUGGGGCGGUGGACCCUCAGCUCAGGGUCAUUCUUCAGUGGCUCAUUGCCUCGGAGGCGGAAGUUAGAGAACUUUAUUUUCAGGACUCUGCAAAGAAGGAGUUUGUCUUACUUUCAAAGCAGUUACAGGAGAGAGGAUGGAAAGUGGGCGAUGUCCUGCAGGCUGUGCUGAAAUACUACGAAGUGGUGGCCAAAGCCUCAAGCGAGGACACGUGCACGUCGCUGUUUGAUUGGCUUUUAGAAAAUGCCUAGCACACCGCAGGGCAGUGUACUUUAGUGCUUGUUUUAGGAAGUAAAAAAGUUGAUGAUUUACAUGUAGGAUAAAAUUCAAAUACAGAAUAUUAACAUUUUAAUUGAAUUGAGAGGAAAGUAAGCUUUUUAAGUGCUUUCUGUCAUUACACUGUAUAUAGUUCAUACUUUUGUAAUCUUUGUCAAGAUAUUCUCUUUACUUAUUCUUCUGUAUAUGUGUAUGUGUUAUGACCUGGAGAUAAUAUUCUGUGAAGGACGAUCUAUCCUCACCCGAGGCUGGGGCAUUCAUUGUCUGACAGCAUUUGUUUGGAUUCACAUAGUGCUGCUGCUGCUGCUGCUGCUGCUGCUGCUGCUGCUGCUGCUGCUGCUGCUGCUGCUGCUGCAAACAGGGCUGAGGCGGCUGGCCUGGCCCACGUGAUCACUUGGUUCCUUUGAAAACAAGUGGUGUCUAAUGAUAAGUCAUCUGACAUGAAGAAAGAAAACUGAGGCUGAUAUUUUGUUGUUUAUUUAUUUCUGAUAAGUUUGUAUUCUUUAUGUACUGUUCUUUAAAAUCAGUUUUACUUCCCAGUUCAGCUAUUGGUACUUGUAGAUUCCCCAAUCUUUAAGCUCGUAGCAUACUCAUUAGUGACUUAGGUUUCUGUGAACACCGUUAUGUGUUCCCCUGGCUUUCCAUCAAGUGAUGUUAUUUGCUAAUACUGCCAAUUGUUAUGAGAUGAGAAGGAGAAGGGCGUGUGUGCGUGUGCAAGAAUAAACGCUAACCUUCCCACUAGUUCAUUCGUUUACUUUAGAGUUUUCUUAAAUAGAAACCCAUUAUUAACACUAAAUAAAAUGUCUAAAUAUUGUGCAGUAAGAAUUUUGUCUUUUUGAUUUAUUCUACAGAUGCAAAUUUAGGUUGUAAAAUACAUUGAAAUUUUAAAAAUUAAUGUAGAAAUGCACUCAGAGGAGCCCAAUAAUGAAUUUCAGUAUUGGAUUUUGAAGAAGAAAAAGAUCCUCCUCACCUCACCAAGAGUAAUUUCUUUUAGCUCGGUGAUUCUCAACCUUCCUAACGUUGCAACCCUUUAAUACAGUUCCUCAUGUUGUGGUAACCCCUAACCAUAAAAUUAUUUAGUUGAUACUUCAUAACUGUAAUUUUGCUACUGUUAUGACUUGUAAAUAUUGGUGUUUUCUGAUGAUCUGAUAGGGGUCAUUUGACCCCCAAAGAGGUUGCAAGCCAGAGGUUAAGAACUGCCAUUUCAGCAUAAAAGUACCUCUCUCCCAAUAAAAUGUAUCUGGAUAAUUUCGUAAAGUUCCCUCUCAUGAUCUUUUUUGGCCUCUACAUUUUCUACUGUGUUUUUAGAGACUGCAGGUUCUAAUUGAGAUGAGUAGGCUUUGUCUCAGUGUGCUUGAGAUGUGUGUAGGUGGGAGGUUCUCCCUAACCGGUUCUGGAAUCUAAGGCGAGUCAUACUGCCUGGGCUGUUGUGUUUUCUCCAUUAUAUUUUCUCUCUUCCCCUAAGCGCUGACUUUUCUAGAACCUACAGUGAAUAGAUGACAUAACACCUACCAGGGUACUUCCAUUAAUCUGAGUUAGUAAUUAUGGUGGAAAAGUUAUUUUUAUAGAGAUGUCACAUUUGCUUUGUCUCCAGAAACAACUUAAGUAUUUUGAAACUACAUUAUAAACUCUAGUUUUUCUCAGUUCAACAUAGAGACACAGGGCCUGCCUUAAGCAUACAUUUUUUUUUUAAAAAGAAGUUUCUUCAAGUAUUUUUCAGAGUGGGCAAAUGCAGGAAUAAUAUCCAUGUGCACUCUCUUACACUUAUAUGAGGAACAAGCACACUGCACAUAUGUAAUUUGCAUGAUAUGUGUUGCUUAGAUUAACAGUAAAACUGACUUUAAAUUUCCUUGAGAUGCAAAUGACAAUGUUGGUCUUAAAAAAUUGAAAGUGCCAGGAAUGUUUCUGUUUCUGGAUUAGUUAUUUGAGGCAAGCUCUAAGUUGUGCUCCGAUUUCCUUUGCAUUCUGGUGAAGCCACGCUACGCUGUACUGCCCAGUGUUCUUCAGUAAGUGCAACAGUGACAGAGGUGGAACUCACAGUGCGUCGGUUCUGUGCAGGAACACAGAAAACAGUAGGAAGUACUGGCAGGGUGUGUGGAAGUGUAGGCAGUUUCGUUAUAGAAAGCAUUUGCAUGUAGAGCCAUGCUGCGUGCUGGACACAGGUAAAGGGGGCCGCUUUAAAGCACGUUGUCUUUGGAGCAACUCUGUUGAGAGUAAAACUUAAAAUGUUGUGAUACACAGUGAGCUGACUCUUGACUCACCAGUUUUAAAGGCAUCCAGGAUCCACAGACAGAGACACCUCUGUCAGAAAAGCCAGCCAAGAAAACAAACAAACAACACAAAACCCACAGAAGAAAUGGCAGUAGAUGGAUGGCUCCUUAUGGUAAAGCUAACAUUGUAACAACCUUCAGUGAACACAUGUAGUACCUUUGUUCUUUCAGAAAUGCUUCAUUUACCCCUAAAGGUAUUUAAUGUGAAUUAGUUCAGUUCAUACUACUAUAAUUCUGCUUAGCAGAGGACUUAUAUUGCAGGUAGGAAGCUACGUGUUGAGUGCACUGUGCAGAAAUUAAAGACGGUUGACCAUUUGACAGAGCUGUGGCCCCCAGCGGUGGCACAUGUUCUCUGAUUGUCCGGAGCCUCGGCUACCUGCCGUUCCACUAGUAGUGUUUCUCCACAGCUGCUUUUAGCAGCAUCAAGUCAGUGUAUUGUUUUGUAAUUUUUCAAAGAAAUCUUUACACAGAGUUUAAAUAUGUUGGGUCCACACACGGGUAGGGAAAAUACUCUCCGUUUAAAACCGUGUCUGCCUGUCAGCAGCACGGAGAACUGUGGGAGCGUCUGUGGGAGUCGGAAGGGGCGGACUCAAGUCAAGUGCGCUUUGCUCUUCAGCGCAAGCCCUGUAGGCACCCCUUGUUUACGGUGCGCCUGCUCUGCACACGCAGGCGCGGUGCUGGUCACUCCUGCCUCUCUAUUUAUUUAUUUUGACAUCUGUACAUUCCUUUCCUAUAGUUAAGAGCCGCAGUUCUGCAGGCUCCUAUCUCAAUCUGUUGUACGGUUUGGAUGCUAUUUAAAUGCCAGGUUCUGUGUGGCUGGAUUUGCUGCCUUCAGUUACUUGUGCUGUGUUUCAAGUAAUCUGCAUUCUUGUUCACUUAAUGAAUAUUUAGUAGAAGUAACUUUGAGUAACUGUGGCCACUUAUUUGGGUUUGCUCAUUUAGCACACUAAGGUCGUAUACUGUGCGUAGUAGUAAUCUCUCUUUCUGCUCUUGAGUAAUUUAAUGUUCAUUUAUCAAACUCGGAACUUCAAAGUGCACUAAAGUUUUGUUUAGCAGUGGUUCAAACUGUUUCAGAAAUUACUUUUGUAAUCAUUUGCAAUUAAUUGUUCUUUUGUCUUUACUCUUGUUCAAGCCUGUGAUCUUUCCUCUCCCAGCCAAGAAUUAUUCAAUAAAUUUAAGAAAUGUCAAGCCA